rnacentral:miRNA from 1 species
GCUGGGGGUCGGGACCGGCUGGGCCAGGGCUGGGGUCGGAGGGGAGCGAGCGGAGCGGAGCGCAGCCGGGAACGGGGACCUGGCAGGGAGCCCGCCGCCGGCCCGGGAGGCACGGAGCCCGCGGCCCCAGCUCGCCAGCC